GUUUACUAUAAUUAUAUAGUUUUAACACACGUAUCUAGUUGGUGUAUUGGUACGCCUCUGAGACUCCUGACUUGGUUAGCCUGAAGAGAGAAGUAUCAGAUAUAAAGCAACAGUUGCAGCACGUUAAUAUGAUGAUCAUGCCAGACUUCAGAGGAGAAUCAAUCAGAAGGACAGAGAGCUUCAGGUGAAAGGUCUGUGCUAUUGUAACUAUAGCUAGCUACCAUUAACAAAACAUUCCCUUAGAGAAGGGUCAAGUCACGGUUGACGAAGCUGAGUGCCGUGUUGAGUGGAGGGAGUUCAUUGUUAAUAUUGAUAAUGCAUAUUGGUGUCGUCAUGUUGAAUCGUCGGAGACCAGUUGCCAUUUUCCCCACUGAACUGUUCCAUCCAGUGUCUCCACUCCUGGCCUUCCCCACUGGACAACCAGGUGGUAUCGGCUGUCCUCUGUGGGCUGUAGCCUGCUCUCAGUUUAGAUACUGUCAUGCAAUGUCUGAACGUUGUCUAGUUUUAUUAUUGUAUAUACUUUCAUAAUUAUAUUAUAAUUGUUUUUUGGUUUCAGUUGUUAUUCUGGCGUACAUGUUAUAAUUAUUUUUAUAAUACAAUCUAUUCAUGUACAAUUAUGUAACAGAAAAGUUGUUAUUACUGAA